GAUAAAAUAAAUUAUUGACUCAAAGGAUUGCAUGCAGACACAUACACACAGAGACAUAUGCAGAACACACAGAGAUACACACAGAGACAUA